UUGCUUUGGCAGCACAUAUACUAAAAUGGAACUAUACAGAGAAGAUUAGCAUGGCCCUUUUGCAAGAAAUCCAAAGCAUUUGAUACUGUCCCACAUGAC
rnacentral:snRNA from 1 species